rnacentral:rRNA from 1 species
CAAAAAGAUGGUGUUAUUUUUUUAGGUAAUAAAAUUAUUUUGGAAUAUUAUUAUUCUAGUAGAUUUAAUCGAAAGAAAAAAGAAAAGAGUUAUAGAGUAGAGUACUGUAAAGGAAAGAUGAAAUAAAUUGAAAAUUAAAUUAAUAAAUAGUAGAAUUUAAUAUUCGUACCUUGUGUAUUAGGGGAAAUCAAAAUAAUCUUAUUAUAAAAGAUAUCCCGAAAAAAAAAGAGCUAAUAUAACCAUAUAGUUUUCGUAUUAAUGAAAUUAUAAAGUUUAUUUUAGUAGUGAAAUGCUAAUCGAUUUUUUAUAUCUGGUUAUUAAUGAAUUAAAUUAAAUUUAGUUGCUUUAAGGUAGAUAAAACUAUAAUGCAAUAAAGAGUAGGAGGGAAAAGCUUCUUAUUCUAUAAUAGGUAAAUUAUGACAACAAAAGUAAAAUAUUAUUGAAUUAGGCUUAAAAACAGCCAUAUUAAUAAAACGUUCUAGUUAAUGUAAUAGUAUAAAACAUAAUAUUUUAAUAGGUAAAGUCUGAUGUUAGGUAAUUAAUGUUCUUGAAAAUUAAUAUAUCAAAAGUCAUAAUGAUUUUAUUAGUAGAAAUGAAAUGUGAGAAAGGGAAAGUUGAAUAAAAAUAAAAUUUUUAAGUUUCUGAAAAUAUAAUUAAGGAACUCGGCAAACAAUACUUUUGCCUGUUUAUCAAAAACAUGUCUAUAUGAUUGUUAUAUAAAGUCUAGCCUGCCCACUGAUUGAAAUUUAAAGGGCCGCGGUAUACUGACCGUGCGAAGGUAGCAUAAUCAUUAGUCUUUUAAUUGAAGGCUUGUAUGAAUGGUUGGACAAAAAGUAAGCUGUCUCAGUUAUAAUAAUUGAAUUUAACUUUUAAGUGAAAAGGCUUAAAUGGAUUAAGGGGACGAUAAGACCCUAUAAAGCUUGACAAUAAGUUAAUUAUAUUAUAAAUUGUUAGUAUAACUUGAUUUUAAUUGACGUUUGUUACGUUGGGGCGACGAGAAUAUAAUGAGUAACUGUUCUUAAAUGUUUAUUGACAAAUAUAAUUGGUAUUUGAUUGAUCCUUUAUUAAAGAUUAAAAGAUUAAGUUACUUUAGGGAUAACAGCGUAAUCUUCUUUGAGAGUUCAUAUCGACAAGAAGGUUUGCGACCUCGAUGUUGAAUUAAGGUAUCCUUAUGAUGCAGCAGUUAUAAAGGAAGGUCUGUUCGACCUUUAAAUCCUUACAUGAUUUGAGUUCAGACCGGCGUGAGCCAGGUCGGUUUCUAUCUCUUAAUUUUAUAAAAGGUACCUUAGUACGAAAGGAUUGGGUAACUGAAAUAAUUUUUGUUAAAUAUGAUUAAGCGUAAUUUACUU